UUCCUUUUCUAAUGAAUUCGUG
rnacentral:siRNA from 1 species